CGUACACUCCUACGGGAGGCAGCAGUGGGGAAUAUUGGACAAUGGGCGCAAGCCUGAUCCAGCCAUGCCGCGUGAGUGAUGAAGGCCCUAGGGUUGUAAAGCUCUUUCACCGGUGAAGAUAAUGACGGUAACCGGAGAAGAAGCCCCGGCUAACUUCGUGCCAGCAGCCGCGGUAAUACGAAGGGGGCUAGCGUUGUUCGGAUUUACUGGGCGUAAAGCGCACGUAGGCGGACUAUUAAGUCAGGGGUGAAAUCCCGGGGCUCAACCCCGGAACUGCCUUUGAUACUGGUAGUCUUGAGUUCGAGAGAGGGGAGUGGAAUUCCGAGUGUAGAGGUGAAAUUCGUAGAUAUUCGGAGGAACACCAGUGGCGAAGGCGGCUCACUGGCUCGAUACUGACGCUGAGGUGCGAAAGCGUGGGGAGCAAACAGGAUUAGAUACCCCAGUAGUCCCA
rnacentral:rRNA from 1 species